rnacentral:misc_RNA from 1 species
UUAUUUUAAUGUGUUUUGUUAUUAAUUGUGUAACAGCGUAUAUUUACAACAUUAACUGUUUACAGUGUUACCAGUGUUACAGUACUAUAUGUACAAUACAGUACUACAACAAAAUAACUAAAAUGAUUAUUCUCGGUUUUAAAAUGUAGUUUUCAAAAAUUGUAAAUUGUCCUUUUUUUCCUUGGUCUUUUUUUCUGUUGGUCUUUUUUUCCUUGGUCUUUUUUUCUUGGUCUUUUUUUCCUUGGUCUUUUUUUCCUUGGUCUUUUUUUCCGGGAUUCGUCCAACGGUCUCUAUUGCUGGCAUACACAGCGGCUGACAGUCGCGAUAAUGAUUGUGUCGACCCCGCCCAAACAGUGUGCGCAAACGAUGAAUACCGUCCGGUUGUGUUUCGCUGAUACCAUCGCGUUUCUCGUUGUCGCGAUCGGCUGGUGGGCUGCCGACGCCGUAGUCUGCUGCAACAGUAGUUCAAUCGUGAACGGUGGCGGAGUCCCGUCUUGCCAGAACGAAAAUCGGACGUUCCACACGGUUGAGGCGAUCGGCGGCGUCACGUGCGAUGACAACCGGACGGCCGUGCCAGUCCGGAAGUGUUGUCCGCCGGGUCGGCCUUACGAUCCGGAAGUGGGGUUCUGCGGACCAGCCGGUGCGGACGACGACGAGUAUCUGCGGCGGAUGAUGCAGCGACUGAGGGACGGAUUCCGAGUGGUGGCCGAUGCGGUGGUGGUUGGUUACGAUUAUGAGCAGCCAAUGUGCAACGCCACGCAAGUGCUAGUCGACGUGCCCACCACAGAGGUGAGCGUGCUGAUGGAAGCGAACCCGUCGGUCGUCGAGUUGCCGCCGGGUUACUGCUUUGACCUGACGCCAUCCGAUGAGCUGGUGGCCCGGACGUGCCGGCCACGCGACCAGUACUGUGGCCAGGACGGUUACACGUGUGUCAACAAAUGCUGCAAGCGCGACAAAAUAAUCGUCGUCAACGACGAUGGUCCGAAUUGGAAGCAGAGUGAGAAGUCGUUUACGUUGUCCGCCUACGAAACAGACGCGGAAGGUCGUCCUGUCGGCUGGUCGAACAGCACGGUGCUGCCUUAUUGCAUCGAUCUCCCGUGUUUCAAUAAGGAAAUAUUGAAAGACGGGUUCAAGUUGACCACGAAUGGCAGCCUUUACCGUACCGACAAAGACAAGCUCGUACCGGACACGAAAUACUGCUUGGAGUAUUAUACCGAGGCCGGGACACCGAUGGCCGACACACAGCCUACUGGCGUUCAGGCGUUCAUAUGCGCUGAAGACACCAAAUCCUCAGCCAUCCGAAUCUCCGGCUGGAAGCGCUUAGUCAUUGUGACUAUAGUUUCAUGCCGUCUGUCGUGUGCCUGGCGCUCACGCUGUUCGUGUACAUCACACUGCCUUACCUCCGGAACGUCCACGGCUAUUACGUCAUGUGCUACGUGGCCUGCGAGCUCAUGUCGUUCGUCUGCAGUACUAUCAAACUAAUAAAACUUGACGACAUAAACAGCCCGUUGUGCAUUCCAUUCGGUUAUUUUCUUUUAUUUUCAUGUUUGACAUCAUUUUGCUGGUUAAACGUAAUAUGCUUCGAUAUUUACUGGACGAUAAGGUAUAACAAUUCAAUAAACAGAAAUACAUCAAUAUCAGUACGUACCAUUAUGUACCAUAUUUACUGUUGGGGAUUUUCAAUUAUUUGGGUAUGUACUGGUUAUUUAUUUCAACAUUCAAAACACGAAACGUUACUGAAAUUAUCACCCGAUUUUGGUCACCGUAGUUGCUGGUUUAAAGGUAAGUUCACACAAUUAUUUUAAAAUAAUUAAUUUUGACCUUUUUAUUUUCUCAGAUUUAAAUAUUGUAAAUUUUAGCUCGGUGUACAUGUUAAUAUUUUAUGACCACAAUAUAAUGUAAUCAUAUAUAAGUAACUAGAAUAUUGUUUAUUUCAUUAAAGCCAAAAGAUACUUCUACCUUAAAAACGUGUAAAUUGUUAACGUUUGACACAAUAAUAUUUUGAUUUAGUAUAAUAUCUAUAUCUGUUAACCAUCAUAUUAUAUGAACUCAGGUAGACAGGUUUAUUUGAAUUUAAACAUGUAGGUAUUGGCAUAAUAAACUACAGUACAAUGUGAUAGCGAAUCAUCUUAAAAUAUUUGUGAAAAAUGUAUUUAUAUUUUAUACGGUAGGUAUAUACAGCUAGGGUAUCCCGUGAGAUUUACCCAUUGUGAUAUACUGAUAUCUUCUGAGAUAAUAAAUAUAUCAUAAAUCUGUUUUUAUUAUUAGACUCACAGAAACAAGUAUUACACAUAUUUUACUAUUUUAU